ACCACUGUACCAGCCACUUCCAAAGCUAAUGAGCACAGCUCCUGACACUGUGCGGGACCUGAGCUAACGUACCCGGUCAGCACACUCCACGCUACUUGAGGAGCCAAAUAUAGCCAGCUCCCCAGGCAUCUCCGACCCAGUUUGACUCACCCAGCAUGGACCUCAUGGGAGUUGGCUGACUUCAGACGAACCAGGAUCCAAUCUUUUAUGAAACAUGCUCGCUCAACAAGACGUCUUCUCGGUGAAGGGAUGCAGAGGAUCAUUCUCCAUGCUGUGAUAGAAUGAAUUAGAAUUUUGUUUUCAUUCACA